rnacentral:rRNA from 1 species
CUUAUGUGGCUUAAAGUCAAACUAAUUGAAAAUGGAAUUUGAAACAUCAAAAAAUUUAGUAGUGGAGAAGGAAACUUAAUAUAAUGAAUAAAAGUACUGUAAAGGAACAAAGCUAAAUAUAAAGAAAUUAGUUCAACUCGCGUACUUUUCGCAUCACGGCUUAGCAAGAACUGACUUAAGGCUUUAGAUUCUCGAAAGUUGGCGAGCUAUUUUUUCCCGGGGACUAGACCUAAUUCUUAGAAAUUACUCAAAAUGUAGCAAAAUUUUAGUAAGAGGGAAAAAUAGAGAUGAAAUUUUAUUCGCGCUAACGAUAGCUAGUUUCCCCAGAAACGUAUAGAAGUACUAAAAUAAAAUUAAGCCAAAGAAAUACCCAUUCUCUGGAUUGUUUUAAUAUUUAAGAUUUUUAAGGAUAAGCUUGAAAAUACCCGGUAAAAAAUAUAUACAAAAUUCAUAACGUAGGCUUGAAAUUGGCCAUCAUAAAAAACUUGUUACAAAGUAGUUUUUUAGAUUUUAUAAAAUAAAUAUAUUCUUGUUCCGGCCCUUAUGGGGAUAAAAAAUAAAACCAAUUGAUUUUUUAACCUAUGCUAAGAUGAGUAUUAAAAAUCUCAAUUAAAGGUCAAGAGCAAUAUAAUUUUAGCCCUUACAAAAGAAGCUGAAAAAAAAUUGGAGUUAAAUAAAAGGAAGGAACUCGGCAAAAUAAAUUGCUUCGCCUGUUUAUCAAAAACAUGGCUCUCUGCCUCUAAAAAAUAGAGAGUCGGACCUGCCCAGUGAAGAUUUUCAACGGCCGCGGUACUCUGACCGUGCAAAGGUAGCAUAAUCAUUUGCCUUAUAAUUGAAGGCUUGUAUGAAUGGUUUGACGAGAGCAAUACUGUCUCCCUUUUAAUUAAUAGAACUUAACCUUUAGGUGAAGAGGCCUAAAUUUGAUUGAAGGACAAGAAGACCCUGUCGAGCUUAAAAGAAAGGUAGAAAAAUGGGCUAUAUUAAUCAUAGAUGUACUACUACUAAAGCUUUUUGGUUGGGGCGACUAAGGAACAAAAAAAGCUUCUUUAAAUAAAUAAACCUAUUAGUGAUGAUCCAGCAUACCUGAUUAAAAGAAUUAGUUACCGCAGGGAUAACAGCAUAAUCUUCCUUGAGAGGCCUAAUCGAAAGGGGGGGUUGUGACCUCGAUGUUGGACUAGAAUAUCCUAAAGAUGUAGAAGUCUUUAAGGG